rnacentral:rRNA from 1 species
UGGGGAAUAUUGCACAAUGGGCGCAAGCCUGAUGCAGCCAUGCCGCGUGUAUGAAGAAGGCCUUCGGGUUGUAAAGUACUUUCAGUCGGGAGGAAGGUGGUAAGGUUAAUAACCUUAUCAAUUGACGUUACCGACAGAAGAAGCACCGGCUAACUCCGUGCCAGCAGCCGCGGUAAUACGGAGGGUGCAAGCGUUAAUCGGAAUUACUGGGCGUAAAGCGCACGCAGGCGGUUGAUUGAGUCAGAUGUGAAAUCCCCGGGCUUAACCCGGGAAUUGCAUCUGAUACUGGUCAGCUAGAGUCUUGUAGAGGGGGGUAGAAUUCCAUGUGUAGCGGUGAAAUGCGUAGAGAUGUGGAGGAAUACCGGUGGCGAAGGCGGCCCCCUGGACAAAGACUGACGCUCAGGAGCGAAAGCGUGGGGAGCAAACGGG